AGUGAACGCUGGCGGUAGGCCUAACACAUGCAAGUCGAACGGCAGCACAGGAGAGCUUGCUCUCUGGGUGGCGAGUGGCGGACGGGUGAGGAAUACAUCGGAAUCUACUCUGUCGUGGGGGAUAACGUAGGGAAACUUACGCUAAUACCGCAUACGACCUACGGGUGAAAGCAGGGGACCUUCGGGCCUUGCGCGAUUGAAUGAGCCGAUGUCUGAUUAGCUAGUUGGCGGGGUAAAGGCCCACCAAGGCGACGAUCCGUAGCUGGUCUAGGAGGAUGAUCGGCCACACUGGAACUAGGACACGGUCCAGACUCCUACGGGAGGCAGCAGUGGGGAAUAUUGGACAAUGGGCGCAAGCCUGAUCCAGCCAUACCGCGUGGGUGAAGAAGGCCUUCGGGUUGUAAAGCCCUUUUGUUGGGAAAGAAAUCCAGCUGGCUAAUACCCGGUUGGGAUGACGGUACCCAAAGAAUAAGCACCGGCUAACUUCGUGCCAGCCGCCGCCGUAA
rnacentral:rRNA from 1 species